rnacentral:rRNA from 1 species
UACGUAGGGUGCAAGCGUUAAUCGGAAUUACUGGGCGUAAAGCGUGCGCAGGCGGUUUUGUAAGUCUGUCGUGAAAUCCCCCGGGCUCAACCUGGGAAUUGCGAUGGAGACUGCAAGGCUAGAAUCUGGCAGAGGGGGGUAGAAUUCCACGUGUAGCAGUGAAAUGCGUAGAGAUGUGGAGGAAUACCGAUGGCGAAGGCAGCCCCCUGGGAUAACACUGACGCUCAUGCACGAA